rnacentral:misc_RNA from 1 species
GCACACGGCUUGCUGCAAAGAGCCGACAGGCCCCCUGCGAGGGGCAGGCAAGCAAACACGAAGACAACAGCCAUUCUUAUUCAUGCAACCUCGCUCGCGUGUUUGACGUCGACUCGACGUGCGCACGUGCGUGCAUGUGUACGUGUUCCCAUCACUGAUGCUGUGGUCUUCCUUGGCAGCACUCGCGCGCACACGCAUAAAAAGCUCUCGGAUUCCCGAGAUACAGAAAGCUAGAACACAUACACAGAGAGCUAGUGAGCAAGAGAGAAUAUGCAUGCGGCACCGCUGCAACGAUCACCUCAUCUAUACAUAUAUAUAUAUAUAUAUCGGCAGAUCUUCUUGUCUGCUCCCUUCGCUCGUUUCCUUCCGCUACAGGACCGGAUGCUGUCCACAGAUCCACCCGCAACGCACGAGCGCACACCCCAAAACACCUCGUAGUUGCUGCUGGCCGCAUUGGCCGCACUGUUGCUUUUGUGUCGUUAUGCAUGGAAGUUGGGCUCGUGCUUUUUCACCUCGACUCCUUACUCUUCUCGCGCGGCACACCGGACAUUGCGCGCGCGCACUCUCACUCCUCCGCCGUCUCACUCUCCUCGAUUGGUACCUUUCCAUCUCCACCACCCCAUCACCUGCAACGCCCUCCAG